rnacentral:rRNA from 1 species
AACGUAGGACGCAAGCGUUAUCCGGAGUUACUGGGCGUAAAGCGCGGGCAGGCGGCUCGAUGCGUCUGAUGUGAAAGCGCCCCGCUUAACGGGGCGAGGCCAUUGGAAACGGUCGGGCUGGAGGGCAGUAGAGGCAAGCGGAAUUCCGGGUGGAGUGGUGAAAUGCGUAGAGAUCCGGAGGAACACCAGAGGCGAAGGCGGCCUGCUGGGCUGCACCUGACGCUGAGCCGCGAAAGCCAGGGGAGCGAACGGG